rnacentral:lncRNA from 10 species
AUUUUCAGAUAUGUAAUAUUUUAAAAAUGUUUUUGUUGGGAAGAACCCAUUGGCUGGGGUGGUUGUCCUGGCAUCACAUGUAGACACCUGUCAAUUCUGUCAUAGAGGUAAAAGAGAAGCUGGUUUCUUAGCACAACCAAAAAUGAGCUUUAGUUAAUGUACUGAAUUUUUCACAGUUCAACCAGUUGUUUUAGCACUGCACAGACACAAAUGUGUACAUUACUCCCCAGAAGAGCACCGUGUCCCCUGACAGUCUUAUAGCUUAGAAGGAGGGAAAUAGACAAUAUGAGGAGUACGUGUUGGAUAAAUCUAAUAUCUAAUGUAUUCCAUGAGAUGGUUUGCGUCUGAGCUCCACCACCUCUCAUCAGUUAACUCUCGCAUUCACUCACCCCACAAUCAAAUAAUUCCCUUCUAAUUCUCUUCUUUGAUAGCAAGCCAACCCUGGGAGAAACAAUGGUUUGGAACAAUAGCACCUGAGGUGGAAGAAAACACAGUGGGCCUCUCACUUUCGCUCUCUAACCACAACAAUUGAAAGAGACUAUGGCCUGAAAAAUCUAUCUGCUCCUAAAUGGUACCCAGAUGGAAAUCACAGCUGCUGUCAUGUACCACCUGUACCUACGCCCAUCCAUCUUCAGAACACGCCUGGGGCAGAGGAGAGAAAUCGAGUUGACAGAGCAGUUAAAGAGCCUCUCUUUUCUCCUGCAUACUUUUCCUUUUAUCUUUUUCUCUUCAGUUUCAGAGCUUCUUGUUCUCACCUUCAUGCUGUGGCAAUGCUGACAAAAGAAAACUGCAGCCUCUGAGAACCAGUGUUCUGGAGACUGAGACAUCCAAGGUUGGCGGGGGGCACAUCUGGGAAACUGGGAAACUGACACUUCCUGCCUUAUAUUGUUGCAGUUGCAAAGAUCAAAUACCAAGGUUAUGGGAAGAUGUUUUGAAGCCCCAUAUAAAUAUGUAAUUUAAUUUAUUCCAAUAAAGACUCAUUGCACAGGCUGGGCACAAUGGCUCACACCUCUCAUUUCAGCUCUUUGGGAGGUCAAGGUGGGCCGAUUGCUUGAGCCCAGGAGUUCGCGACCAGCCUGGGCAAUAUGAUGAAACCCCAUUUCUACAAAAAAAAUACAAAAAUUAGCUGGGUGUGGAGGUGUGCAUGCUUGUAGUCCCAGCUACUUGAGAGGCUGAGUGGGAGAUCGCUUGAGCUUGAGAGGCAGGGAUUGCAGUGAGCCGAGAUUAUGCCACUGCACUCCAGCCUGGGCGACAGAGCAAGACCAUGUGUCAAAAACAAACCAACCAACAAACAAACAAAGACUCAUUGCACAUAUAAGCAAUAGAUCAACCAUUUUCAAAGAGCAUAACCAAAAAAAAAAUCCAACACUACACAAAUCUUGAAUAUAAUUUAACCUUUCUUCGAAAGUUUAGAAAGUAUUUCAAGAUGAGGCAAUGCUUUUCUCUAACAUUAACAUGAGCAUCGAUUACAGAAAUGUUCCACUGAAUUACAUGGCAAAAUUAAAAUUCUGAUGAUUUUAUGUACAUGGUUGCUUGAAAUAUGAGCUAUCAGUAGCUACUAUAUCCCAUUAGGCCUUUCAAGUUCACAUCAUAAGUUGUAUAAGAGAUAGGACACCUCCAUUGAAAACAUCAGUCGACUUAGACGAUUUCUGUCAGAUAUUAUUGAUUCAGCAAUAUAAGAAUGCGACGAUGUAGUCCCAGCUACUGGGGAGGCUGAGGCAGGAGAAUGGCGUGAACCUGGGAGGCAGAGCUUGCAGUGAGCCUGGGAGACGGAGCUUGCAGUGAGCCGAGAUCGCGCCACUGCACUCCAGCCUGGGUGACAGAGCAAGACUUCGUCUCAAAAAAAAAAAAAAAAAAAAGUCAACGAAAGGACAUGGGUUUGGAGAGUAACCAGAGAUGCUGCCAAUUAAAGAUACCCCUUACUCAAGACACUUUAUUUCUCUCUGUUGGAACAUUGUCAUAAUAUACUGUCAUCUACUAAAAAAUUACUGUAAUAAAUAUAAAAAUCUUCACUGUCUGCCAUGACAGGAACCGCAUGAGCUGUUAUGCCCUUCUGCAACGCAGAACUUUCCCAACCAUAUAUGGUGGCCCUGAGAUGUGUAGUUUUGCCCUUUACACCUUUAUUUUCUAUUAGUACAUUUACUUUUUAAAAAAGUAUGAACUAUCAUUUGCAAUUUGAAAAACAUCAAAUACAGAACAUUUAAAAAAUAUAUCGCUAGACCUCAAAAUGAAUCUUAAUGGCAAUCACAGAUUUCAACCCUUUCAACCAGAUUUCUGAGUGUCUGAACAUAGAUGUAGGCUCUGAGACUAUGAUUUCUAGCUUGUUUUUCCUAAAUAUUCACUGUGUAAUUGGGACACUAUCACUUAGCCCCUUUGUUCCUUAUUAUAUCAUUUAUAAAUUUUAUAACUAUAUUUUAAUAAAGGUACUUAAUAUCUAGAUAAUAGAUAAAUGGUUUGUCUAUAAUCCCUAAUUUAUAUACAAUAAGUCUACCAACUUUUAUGGUAGAACUUCAUAAGUUUUAAACUAGUAUAAUAUUUAAUUUUUAGUAUAUAAACAUCUGAUGUGGUUUGGCUGUGUCCUCACCCAAAUCUCUCCAUGAAUUGUAAUAAUCCCCAGGUGUCAAGGGCAGGGCCAGGUGGAAAUAAUUGAAUCACUAGGGCGGUUUCCCCCAUACUGUUCUCAUGGUCCUGAGUAAGUCUCCUGAGAUCUGAUGGUUUUAUAAAUGGGAGUUUUCCUGCACUAGUGCUCUUGCCUGCUGACAUGUGAGAUGUGACUUUGCUCCUCAUUCACCUUCCACCAUGAUUGUGAGGCCUCCCCAGCAAUGUGGAACUAUGAGUCAAUUAAACCUUUUUCCUUUAUAAAUUACCCUGUCUCGGGUAUGUCCUUAUUAGCAGCAUGAGAACAGACUAAUACAAUAUCCCAUCAAAUUAUAAAUGAAUCUGAGGCUCUGAUUCAGACAAAGGAUGGAUGGAUUGGUAGUCACAUUUAUCUAUAGAAUAAAACUGGAAUGACAUACAGUACAAUGUUUCAGUGAUUCAUGAAUGGUUGGGAUAUGGCAGUUUUAAUUUUCAUAUUUGUACAUUUCUGUAUUUGGUGAAUUUUGUAUAAUGAUCAUGAAUUGUUUCUGUUGAGAAUGUUGUUGGAACAGUUGGGCUGGGAAAAUCUCUACCUCCCACAAAGUAUUUUGGAGAAAGGAACUGUGAACAGCCUGGAGGAAAAUUUAAUAUUUAACUCAAACAAGUGGCAUCCACUAUAUUCACACUGGCAGAGCUUUUCAGAAUUAGAGUCUUGCUUUCUUUUUGUAAGCAUCAGGAUUGAUUUUUAUAUGUGUUCUAAUCUUAGUUUAGUCCUUUAACCAUUUUUCCCAGGAUAAUAGAAAUGAAAGAAUGUUGUAUUUUGGCUUGCUGAGUUAGAAUGAAUGGAAAAAACUUAAAGGAAGCAGCAGAAGGAACAGUGAGAAUGACAUACAUUUUCUUUUUUUCUUUUUUUUUUUUUGAGAGUGAGUCUUGCUCUGUGACCCAGGCUAGAGUGCAGUAGCACGAUCUCGGCUCACUGCAAACUCUGCCUCCCGGGUUCCAGCGAUUCUCCUGCCUCAGCCUCCCGAAUAGCUGGGAUUAGAGGCGUCCACUACAGCGCCUGGCUAAUUUUUGUAUUUUUUAGUAGAGACAGGGUUUCAUCAUUUUGGCCAGGCUGGUCUGGAACUCCUGACCUCAUGAUCCACUUGCCUCAGUCUCCCAAAAUGCUGGGAUUACAGGCAUGAGCCACUGAGCCCAGCCGACAUACAUUUUCUCUAGAUCACUGCAGCCUAGCUUAAAUAUGCUUCUCUAGGUCAUCUCUCUAUUUCCACCUAUAUCUGUGCAUCAACAUCUCAGGCUAUUAUGUUCUCAAAUCUGUUUUCAAUAUGAAAAUACAGACAUGAGAAAGAGCCAAUGCUGUUCUCAGGAUCUUACAAUUCAUUCUGCAUCUACACAGUCCUGGAGUUCCAAACACAGAUUGCCAUAACAAGAGAAAUUAGCCAGAGCACUAACUGUUUUCAAAAUAACAAUUCAUUUCACUAAAAUCAGUGAAUGGCUCUUUUCAAAGCGUAAUUAUACUUUCUAGGGGAAGACAUUAGGUCUACUGAAAGUAAGUCACCUAAUUUACAGAUACCAAUGAUGAAAAUCUUCUCAAGGCAUUGGGGGAAUAAAAGACAUUAAUUCUCAGUUUGUAAAUGAACAUGAAAUGUGAUGUGCCCACUACCAUGUGGGUGUUUCUCUGCAGAUCUGCUAGUAAGCAGGCAUAAUGUGCCAGUAAGAAGGCAACCUGGAAAACAUAGCCAGGAACUGGGACAACUGGGAAGCUGAUAGAAAGAGUUGUUUAAUGUGUAAGCUGUCGUCUGCACACACAGAAGCAUUUCCAUGGCUAUGAACAAAGGGUAACUGCGGGGUGGUUUAUUAAUUGAAAAUAAAUGUCCUUUUCUUUGUGAAAUGGCUAGAUAUUGAAAAACCAAACACAUGCUAAGAGGACGUGCACAGUCAGCAGAGAAACAUCAGCUUGGAAAAAUCUGCCAACAAGGAGAAAGUUUAGAAUGGAUUGGUUUCCUGUCUCUGCACAACAAAUAAACCACCAAGGGAUUCCCAAGGAUCUAAAUAAUGAACCAAUCUCUCUCUCUCCUUUUCCCUUUCCAUCUCCCUCUCCCUCACUCCCUUCUCUUACGUGCAUCGGAGAAUGGUGAGCAAGUACCUAGGGAACUACAGUAUUUUGGGUCCUCCUUCUGACAAGGCAACUAACACCUGAAAAAAAAAAAUGAAUCCCAUACAUUUCAUACUAAAGAACUGGGGGCUUACUACGAGACAAAAGAAAAAUUAGAUCUCUAGUUCGGAAGGCAAUUUUUUCCACAUCGUUAAAUAAAUAUGGUCAGCAUUCAACAAUUGUGCUGAUGAAGUGAGUAUGUGGAUAUAUUACAGAAUCAAUUUUCUUACCUAUUUUAUUUCUAGGCUCAGCAUCAGGUUGUUAAUUUUGACCCAGCCAUCCCAUUACUGGGUAUAUACCCAAAGGACUAUAAAUCAUGCUGCUAUAAAGACACAUGCACACGUAUGUUUAUUGCGGCAUUAUUC